rnacentral:rRNA from 1 species
UACGUAGGGGGCUAGCGUUGUCCGGAAUCAUUGGGCGUAAAGCGCGUGUAGGCGGCCCGGUAAGUCCGCUGUGAAAGUCGGGGGCUCAACCCUCGAAAGCCGGUGGAUACUGUCGGGCUCGAGUGCGGAAGAGGCGAGUGGAAUUCCUGGUGUAGCGGUGAAAUGCGCAGAUAUCAGGAGGAACACCGAUUGCGAAGGCAGCUCGCUGGGACGUUACUGACGCUGAGACGCGAAAGCGUGGGGAGCAAACGGG